AUAACGUUUCAAUAGGGAAACAGCCCUCCAUUUGUAGACUUAUACAGGGCAUUCGCUUGGCCAGACCUCCUAACCCCAGAUACUCUAAUUUCUGGGAUGUUUCCCAGGUUUUUUUUCCUUCUUGGAAUCUUGGCCUUUACUUUUCGAGCAGACCCUCCCUCUGCAUGACGCGUUGUGUUCGAUAUUAUAUGGAUACCACGGUUACGCUGCAUUCCCCCUUAGGACCUCUCCUGGUCUCUUAUGUCAGACUGCACAAACCGAUCUCCUCCCCCACAUUUGCAUGGUGGAUCAGAUGGCUUGUUAUCCUGGCUGGGAUUGACCCAUCCUUUGGAGCACACUCAGUCAGGGGAGCGGCCGCAUCCUCUGCCUUUCGAGUAGUCAGUUCCCUUUCUGACAUCCUAUCCGUUUCGUACCUUCUAUUUCAAACCUAGGCCACAUGCUGCUUCCUCUAUCAUACAGGAGCGGUAAAACAGCAAAUAUGAUGCCUCCUGUCUUGCCAUAAAUCAGGGAUUAUUCUAGCUUUAGUGAAGAAAUAAUCUAAAUGUUAUUAACGAACGGAGGCGAAUAUUUUCCCUCCCUUUAAAUCUCCUAUUCCCACCCUUUGAGGGAAGUUAUUAAAUAGUUGGGUACAUAUCCGUUCCAGCUUAGUUUUAUGCACCAUAUGCCAUAGGCAACACAAUCUGGUAAUCAUAUUGAAGAAUUAUUAUAUUCUCACCAUACUUACUAUUGAUGGUAUGUUAAUGAUUAAGGUUAACCAUAGGUAAUUAAUAGACUUGAUUUUCUCUGGUAAGAGAAUCUAUACUUUCACGUAAUUCUCUCUCCUUUCUUCUAGUGUGAAGAUUUUCUACGGUCGUGAGCCUACAGCUCAACAGUUCUCGGUUUACAGGGUUGACCAACAACAGGACCUUCUGUUUGGUCCAUUGCAAAUGAAGUUAUUCUGUUUACAUGACUGAUCUAUGCUAGUCUCGGCUACAGCAAGAAAGAGGAGUUUGGAGGAGCUUGAUGACAUUCUAUAAUAUUGUUGUACACUCUGAUAGGUUGAAUUUUUUUUACAUUGUUGUUAACAGUUUCUUUGCUGUUAAGUUAAGAAAGAUUAAGCAACUAUUCGCCUCCUGUCGCUAAUAAAAUUUAGAUUAUUCCUUCACUCAAGCUAAAAUAAUUCCUAAUUAUUUGCAGAAGCCAUUUACUGCAUUCCAUUGAUGACAAUAGCGGGAGUGUGACUAUAAAGGCCAAUUUGUGUUACUCUAUUUAAGAACAUAUAGUUGAGUUUGUAAAAUCCCUUCAACGGGCAGUAAUAAAACUUAGUAAGGGUCUUCAACAAAACAGGAUAAAGUAAAAAUGUGACAAAAUAAUAUGGUUUGUAUGUCAGCUUCUAUACUGAAAUGUGUGGAAUUAAAAAUGAAUAAGCCACUAAUUACCAAGUAAAUCAGAAUUCUUCUACAUUUACAAACGUAUAG